CUCAUCUCAGGGAUCAGAAACAUAGUCCCGGCCAGCAACUUGCUCCUUGUUGAAACAGAACAGAACAGAAGCAAGCAACAAGAACACAACAAUGAUGGAUUGUCAGGCUAAUUUUGUGUUGAAAGUAAAUUUCUGCACGGACCUGGAGGCAGGAAGAGGUCACACCUGGCCCUGUGUCUACUGUACUCUAGGUGUGGAGCUACUGUCAGUCACAGGCACACCUUGGCCAAAUUACACACAGGAUUCACCAUUCUCCUCUGGUAUCCUUUUAAGAAAAUGAAACAAAGUGUCCCUCAUGGCAGAAGGAGUGAUGCAGAUGUGUUGAGGACUCCUGCACCCAGCUCCUGACCCUCAUCUGGCAUAAACUGUGCUGCUUUAGACAGUGCACUUAGCCUUUCUGAGCUCCUGUUUUUCAUGGGAAAUAUUUGGGAAAUAAUGAUAGAAAUAAAUAACACCUAAAUCAAUAGAUUGAUAAGAGACUUGAGAUAAUUA
rnacentral:lncRNA from 1 species